AAUAAAUGAAUGACACUAAAUUUGGUUCAGGACUCCAGCACUGCAGGAGGCGAUAAGACACCCAUAUUAGUUUACACUUUUUUUUUUAUCUAAAGAAGGAAGAAAAGGGACUAUUUUAAAAUGGAAAUGGCUUCAGUGGUUCAUGGGCUGCUUCUGCUGUGUUCGCUCAUAAAGAAUCAUGGGCUGCUGCUGCUGUGUUCGCUCAUAAAGAAUCAUGGGCUGCUUCUGCUGUGUUCGCUCAUAAAGAAUCAUGGGCUGCUUCUGCUGUGUUCGCUCAUAAAGAAUCAUGGGCUGCUGCUGCUGUGUUCGCUCAUAAAGAAUCAUGGGCUGCUUCUGCUNNNNNNNNNNGCUGGGCGGUGGGGGUGGAUGACGCCCUCUACAGGUGACAAGCAACAGGACAGUAUGAGAUGUGAGCUGCCUAAACCUUGCAGGUUAGAAUUACAUCCAUUCAUAGCGACAGACAGGAGAGUGAGACAGACAGGAGAGUGAGACAGACAGGAGAGUGAGACAGUCAUGGUUAUUAACUAGAACUAGCAGAGAGCAGCAGGCAAGCCUGGAAAAACCCAGAGUUGAAAAAACUAACGAAAUGAAAGAGGAACGAAAGAGAGGAAGAAAAAGCAAGUUAGAGAUGACUGUUAGAGGUGACUGUUAGAGGUGACUGUUAGAGGUGACUGUUAGAGGUGACUGUUUUGGCGGCAUCGUGA
rnacentral:lncRNA from 13 species